AUUGAACGCUGGCGGCAGGCCUAACACAUGCAAGUCGAACGAGUGGCGGACGGGUGAGUAAUGUCUGGGAAACUGCAUGAUGGAGGGGGAUAACUACUGGAAACGGUAGCUAAUACCGCAUACCAUCGGAUGUGCACAGAUGUGAUUAGAUAGUAGGUGGGGUAAAGGCUCACCUAGGCGACGAUCCCGAGCUGGUCUUAGAGGAUGACCAGCCACACUGUAACUGAUACACGGUCCAGACUCCUACGGGAGGCAGCAGUGGGGAAUAUUGCACAAUGGGCGCAAGCCUUAUGCAGCCAUGCCGCGUGUAUGAAGAAGGCCUUCGGGUUGUAAAGUACUUUCAGCGGGGAGGCGUUACCCGCAGAAGAAGCCCCGGCUAACUCCGUGCCAGCAGCCGCGGUAAUAC
rnacentral:rRNA from 1 species